rnacentral:lncRNA from 1 species
GUGCAAGAGGGUAGUUAACAGCUGUUAUGAAUAAAGGGUAGCAUAUUAUUAUUCAAGAAAGAGCCUUGACUAGGUUUAGCACGUUGGGAUGUGUGAAGCUUACUGCAUAACCUGAAUUGUCCCCACUCCACUAGUGAGUAGAUAGCAUUUUGCAUAGCGCCGGCUGGUAAGAUGUUUCAGGAGGGUGGUGAUGUGUACUAGCAAGGCAGAGAUCCCGAGUUCACGCCAGGCAUGUCAAAGCUCCAGGGACGCAGCAGAGAGCAGAAGGGUAGGGUGGAGAACACUGCCUUUUUGCAGUGGUAUUGGCCUCGGUUUGUGUCCAUCUCUCCCCUUCCUCAGGCCUCCAUUACUUUCCACUGAGAAUCUUCAUUCACAGACGACCGAGUUUUGAAAUCAGUGGAAUUCGAGUACGAUAGCUAAGGAGAUGGAGAAAACACCGGUCUGGAUUACAUUGUCAAACUAAGGCAACCAUGCAUGGCAUCAGACAGGAGACGCAUCUAACCACGAUGUAUACUGGACGUUUCAAGUCGCACGUCUAUCUUGGAACAUGACGUGGAUGUGGGGCACGCUGCUCCUAUUCAUCAGCAUCCGUACCGGGUUAACGCUAUGAGAGGAAAUGGCUUCCUGGAUUCCUGAAGCAGCUGAUUGGAUGGCCCCAUCGCUGAUUGGAGCUUUGACCCCUCCCUCUCAUCACGGGAUACAGCUGUCUCUUCAUUAUCAACUCCUUCUCCAGCUUAAUAAAAGCCAGUGUUCCUUUGUCAGAAGAGAUCUUCUUUUUAUGUCCUGUGUUGGUUGUUGGUCAGUGAAAGUUUUGUUGAUAUUAUUUUGUAGCCACUCCUCCCGAGGUAUGUGUAUGCCAAUAGGACUUUUUGAUUAUUGAAAUUGUUCACUAAAAGUAUUAGUAAUUAUUUCAUUUGUUCCCAGGGGUGGAAGGGGAACGCACCUUAGGAGUGUUUAGGCAAGAGGCCUGCGGGCAUACAUAACCCGUAGUAUUUAAUCUGUGUAUCGUUUUACCGUGUUAAGGAAUAAUAAAUUCCC